GUGCUAAGGUAGCAUAAUCAUUUGUUUCUUAAUUGGUAGCUGGAAUGAACGGCUGAACUGGUUUAGCAAAUGUGUGAGCUUAAAUAGAAGAUUAAAGUCAGGGUAAGAAUUCUCUGGUAAUUUAGGGGACGAUAAGACCCUACAAGCUUAAUAAGCUUAUUGCUGGAUUUGUUUUUCAAUUUAGUUUAUUUUACUGGGGCGGUGCUGGUGCUUUGACUAUUAGUUAGUUUAAGAUCCUUAAAAUAUAGAUGAAACGUAAAAGUUACUUUAGGGGUAACAGUGCAAUAUUUUUGGAGAGAUCUUAUCGAUAAGUAUGUUUGCAACCUCGAUGUUGAAUUA
rnacentral:rRNA from 1 species